rnacentral:lncRNA from 1 species
UUUUUAAAUAUAAAUAUUAUUAGAUUUAUUUUAAUGUUACAUUUCUAUUUACUAUAAAACAUUAGAGUUACUCUUAAUUUUUUUGGGGAUAAUAAAGGUAAAUGAUAUUAUGGUUAAAAGAGAGUUUUAGUGUUCUUUUUUAGAAAUUUGGAGGUGUAGAUGUCCUUUCCCCCCAAAAAAAAAUAUUAUUUGAGAUUGUGUGCUUAAUUUUCAUGUUGAUUAGAUAUUUAUCAAAAAAAGAAACUUUUGGUUUCUUCUUUAUAAGAAUAAAUAAAAGUAGUAAAGAAAAUACCAUUAUCUAAUGUGAUCAGCAAGUUGACACUAUAUAGGUCGCAAGUAAGCCUGGGCAUGGCGGCUUAUACAUAUCACUAUAUCAGUAUGACGUGUCUCGCGCACACUGUUUUUGCUCCAUGAUUAAGAUUUUUAUAUUUUUUCCCCAAAAAGUCGAUUUUCCGAUAAAUAUACUUACAAAUUUUGCAGGCAAGAUAUUGGAUACGCAUUUUGCUAGCUUUUAGUGAAGUCAGAUUCAAUGUGCUAUGGUUAAUUAAAAUGUGAUUUGAUUGCUAACUUCUUUAAUUUCUAUUUAGAUUUCUAAUCUUUUUUUGAUGUCUGAGGAACUGUUGGGUGAAUUGUAGAACUAAGCCUGUUAAGAAUUUUUGUUGUACUCAUGUAUAAUAAUGGCACUGAUUAUCUUGCCAAUUUUGAGUUUGCGUUAUUAGCAGGUUCUUAGCUCAGGAUGUUAAGAGAUUUUCUAAUUACAAUUUUGAUGUGGUUCGCUAUUUAGUUUGGGAAAAUAUUAUCUCAAAGCAAAUUGCUUCCUUUCGUUAUUAGAAAUUCUCAAUAAUUCUUCCCUUGGAUUGAUCUGUAUAUCUUUCUUUAAAUCUUAAGAUGCAGGAUUCGAAUUUUUC